rnacentral:lncRNA from 1 species
GGCCCCCGAGAGACUGGGACCCAUCCUUCAAAAAGAGCACACAGUGCCACCCACAGAAUGCCUGUCCUAACUUAAUAAUGGACUAAUAAAAGUAUAAAGAGUGUUUUUUGCAGAUGCAGGAAUGGCCACAUGCAGGAACGCCCCCAAAUUGCAGUCCACAAUUGCAACCUUCUCCCAACAGAUGGCCUGCCAUACCAUAAUCAGUUACAUACCCAACCAAAAAACUCACUUUGAUCAGAACCCUCAUAUACAGCCAAAGCAGUAGGUGGCGGUAUGCACCUAUAGAAUUUGUUUGCCGACAGACAUAAUAUCCAAGAAGAAUACCCCGUACUGUAGGUGGCGGCAAUAUGGAAUGUUUUUUUUUUUUUUUCUUAUUCAAUACCCGGUCCAGCUGGUGACGGUAAUGCACCAUUAACAUUGGAUGCCAACCGCCGUUAAACCCCAUCGAAGAAGAAGAAGAAGUGGCGGCGGCAAUACACCAGUCGGUGUAGUCUGCCAUAAAACUUUGAAGGAGAAGAAGAAGAGCACGAGCACUCUUCAGGGUGUAUAGUUCUUUCUUUCAAUGUUUUAUCAAGACAAGCAAGUUGAAAAUGACCUUUGCCUUUCCUCUACGAAUGAAUGUUUUUAUAGAUGAAGACCUAGACUAAAACUUUGAAUAGCUACCUGAAUGGAAACUUAAUAGUUGAAUAAAUGAGACUGACGUCUUGAAAAGAUAGAACAUGUACCUGUUGCGCUUCUCUAUUGCCAUCAUUCUUGGGUUUGUGUGGUAUUUAUUUGACCGCGGACAAGUAGCGGCUCAAAUUGCUUUAUGUUUACUAUUUUGGCAAUCAACCCCAAAUGUUUUAAUAAAGACCAGACGGGAAAGCGGAACUCAGACAGACGAUGUGGCUGAAGAACAUUUAUUCCAGGAAACCACCGACCAUUUAGGUUGUGAUGUGACUGAUACAACAAGCACUAAAGCUGAAACAUCACAGGAGAGACAGUUUCCCCAUGUGAAGAGAUCUCUUCAGCAAGUGUUUGACUGUGCCUACGCCCAGCUAGUCCUCCCCUGGUACAGCGUCCCUGGGCCCUGUGACAGUCAGCUCCUGCACCAGGUGCUGUGGAAGGAGUUUGACCAAGUCAUCGAUCAAGUCAUCAGCAGAGGCAAAGACUUUGAUGUCUGUGCUGCAAGUGUGGGCUGCAUUCGCAUCCUGACCCAGCACCUCCAUAAUGCCAAACAGUCUCAUAGAAAACCAUUGUUCCGCUCUAGAGGAGAGGAGGUUGAAGUUCUCCGAGUGUUCUCUGAAGCACUGGUGCGAAACCUUUUACCCCAGUCCCUAUGGGGACUGGCAGUCAGCCACUGUGCCUUAAAUGAGAUAGUUGCCUUAAAAGUACUGGACCUGCUGGUGCGUUGGCUCUCAGACCCUGACAACCUCAACCAGCUGGUGGUGAGUCAGCUGGAUGGAGCGACCCGUAAAAGCUCUGUGGCGGAUCUGUGUGAGUCCCACUCUGACAGGGCCUCUCCAGCCUCCCUGGAGAGCCAGGCCAGUGGAGCGACACAGGAUGAAACAGAGGAUGUGCAAACCAGUGACAGCAAGUCCAAAAAGAAAGCUAACAAAUUGAAGGAAGGCUGGUCUAAAUUCCUUGACAAGAUGAGAUUGAAGAAUGCUAAAAGGGAGAAGAUGAAGAAAAGGGAGCAGGCGCUGGUUGUCAUGGCCAUGUCUAUCCAGGGUCGUCCAUCAAACGAAACUGAAGGGAGUAGCCGGGAGGGCUCCAUCCGGAACCAGCAGGACUCUGACAAUGAGGACAGUGAUCUGGAGAGCUACUGGAACAGUGUACAAGAGGAUAUGAUGGAAUUCAAUCUGUCGUAUGAGCUGUGGCGGGUUGGCCACUGGGCUGUCAGCGUCCCUUGUGUGGAGAGGGAAAACGAGGAACUGUGUUUUACAGUUCACCUGGAGGAGAGGGACAACCCUGAAAACCUUCACUGGAACGUGAGGAAGACCCAAACAGACAUCAUCCACUUCCGCAACCUAUGGCAGGACUCUGCUACUUUACCCUCCCUAUCCGUGUUAGAAGAGAGUACUGUGGUGAACAUCAGUGAGGAUUUUAAAGAAGCCAAAAAGUCAAUCAAGCACUUCUUACAGGAGCUGGUGUCUGAUGAUCUAGUGGGCCACACUCAGCCAGUGUUUCAGUUUCUGUGUCCUCUGGACAAGCUGCUGGUUGAAGAGGAUCAUGUGGGGGAAGUGUGGGGCCUCUUCAGUGGCCUGGCCUACUUCCUGACUCCGGGCCAAGAGGAAGAUGAGGACAAGCACAACAGCCUUGGAAGAGGGACCAAACCAGAUGAUUCCAACACAACGGAGGCUGCAGACCCAACUGCAACUGAGAACCUGGAUGGCGAUACAAGGGAUGACCUGGCCCGGGGCCCAUGUAUCAUCAUCUCCCAAUGUGAUGAGGAUUCUCCUCCAGAACCCAGUUCCAUUGAGUGCUGCAGAGAUGACGAAACCGAACCAAUAGAGAAAUCUGACAUUUUGGUUAAUGCAGACAAAACCGAGGGAUCUGAGAACCCCAUAACUUCUCACCUAAAGAUGGCAAUCAAAAGGCUAUCUAGAUCAGAGGAGUGUCUGGCCCAAACAAAAUCAGACACCCCUGAAGACCAGACUGACUCUUUCUGUAGACUGCGACGUUCCAGUGAAAAUGGAAGCUUGCAAUUUGACCUCGCUGUCAGUCCAACACAUCCUUUUGGUGGAAAGUCGAAUAAAAAGGAGAAGCUCACUUUCAAAAUGUCAGGAGGGAUGCCCAAGAGUAAAGGAAAUGAAAUGGGGAGUCAGCCAAAAUUAGAAGACUCACCGUGUUUGAAAAAGGAACAAUCCAGCUGGGAGCAAAUGGAAGCAACCAAAGCCCUUUUUGAUUUGUUGAAAGCAAUAUCUGGCAAUUCCAUCCUUCUGAACAUAUUUGAUGCGAUUUUGAAACCCGUCAUGCCGAUAUUGAAAAAGAAAGUGAACAGCUUCUUGAAUAAUAUGAACCCAACGGAAGCACAGAUUGCCUCCUAUAUCGACAACCUGCGUGAGAAACAGUGGCCCGGGGGCUUGCCGGAGGUGACAUGCCCUAUACCCCAUCGCAGCAGUGAGGAGAAGCAUGAAACCAAAGGCCGAGCUCACCAUCUCAUCAAUGCCAGAUAUUCAAACUAUUUAAUCUUGAAGAAGACCGAUAUGGAGUCAGCAUUUAAGCUCUUCCAGGACUGUGAAGAAAACAAGAAGCUGGUCUAUAUGCUGCUUUCAUUCCUGUUGAGAGAGCUUCUGCCAGGUGAGGAUGCCCUUAAUGUGAGUGCCAUAACCCUGCAGAAAGUGAACGUCAACUAACUCAUUUUUAGAUGUUCUCAGGUGAAUCAUGCUUUUAAAUGAUCUUUAGUUCAGUGAACUUUCGUUCUGAUGUUUUAGAAAAUGUUCAUAUUUAUUUGAUUGGUUGUCAGGCCUUACAACAGUCCCAUUUAGUAGCAUUUAAUCCAUAUGUCUACACUUGAUUGGAGUAUUAUAAUAAAUACAUCUUUAUGAUACAUUUCCAGGAAAACAUAUUUUACCUCAUGCAUUAAACAUGCUGUGAAUCAUGCCUAUUAUUUAAAAUGUAUCAUAUGUUGACUAUGAAAUAAGUUGAUCUUGAUUAUGUAUUUAGCAACAUGGGCAAAUAAUGUGUGGUAUAAAAAUGUGUGGUUAUUCAGGUUCAAAUGUCCUUUACCAGUGUAGAAAAUGUCAAUAUUUGCUAUCGAGAUGGUAACAAUGUACUCCAUUGUCAAACUCAGAGGGACCAUAAAUGCACUUUUAUUUCGAAAAACUUUACUGGUAGGGACAAACAGAGCACUGUGAAUAAAAUGUUAACAUUUUGUCCAAAACGUUUAUAAUCACGUUCAGAGUUGAUGGGGAGAUGUGUUAAAUGACCAGAAUCAUUUGACUGAAGUUGUUCAUAUUGUGUUUGGUUUGGAGAAUAGCCAGUAAUUACACAUGUGAUCUAGGUUUUACCAUGGCUUCCGAAGCAACUGAAUGUGAUGUUUUCGGUGUCGAUGUGCCUUCUUAAUAAAGUUAUUUACAUUUUUCUUGCUUUUUUGACAUAUGCCUGUUAUGCUUUCAUUUUUAAAAAUUUAAAUAGGCAAGUCAGUUAAGAACAAAUUCUUAUUUACAAUGACAAUGACAGCCUAGGAACAAUGGGUCUGCCUUGUUCAAGGGCAGAACGACAGAUUUUUUACCUUGUCAGUUCGGGGAUUUGAUGUAGCAACCGUUACUGGCCCAACGCUCUAACCACUAGGCUACCUGCUGCCCCUUUAGAUUGUGUGGUAAAUAUAUUCUGUCUUCUGAAUAUGGAUUCAUCCAGUCCAAUGGUAUUACUGAGUUUUAACUGUCUUUCUCUAUGUUGAUCAUUAUUAAAGUUCACAGACAAAAAUAAAUGGAUUAUUAAAGUGGCAAUAUGUAACUUUUUGGGCGACCUGACUAAAUUGACAUAAAUGUGAGCUAUAGAUUUAUAAUUCUAUUUGAAAGCGAAACGAUUUCGGCAUAGUGCAGUUUUAAGAGAUUAACAACUAAUUUGGAUUUUGUAGCUAUACUUAAGUAUACCCAAGAUAAUCGAUGCUGGUGGGAGGAGCUAUAAGACAGACUGAUUGUAAUGGCUGGAAUGGAGCUAGAUGCAGACACCAACCCCCGGACCUUCUGGCAAAAAAUCAAACAAUCAACGGAGACAAAACCAAUAACAUCAUACCUGUGCUAAAGUCUCAAAACCAACUCAUCGAAGACAACGAAACAAAAGCAACAUUAUUCAGAAACCACCUACAAAAUGUUCAUUCUUGUCCCGGCGAUCCUCUCUUUGACAAAGACUGGAAAACCAUCGACGACAGAGAAAUGCAGAAAACAGUGUACACCUCAAAUCCGACACCAGUAGACCAUCCCCUCACCCGCUCUGUUAGCGUUGAAGAAAUCAAGACUCACCUGAAAAAAAAAAAAAAAAACAAAGCACCAGGGGAAGACAACAUUGACAGCACACUCAUCAAACAAGCACCUGAUGAAUACCUGCACCUCCUUUCCAACCUCUUCACAGAAUGUCCCACGGAAGGCUACUUUCCCCUACCUUGGAAAUCUGCAGUUGUCACAAUGAUCCACAAACCUGGCAAAGACCCAUACAACGUCACAAGUUAUAGAACAAUCAGCCUCCUCAGUCAUGUCGGGAAGCUGUUUGAGAGAGUACUCACCCAAAGACUGAGCGGCCACAUCGAGGAAAUGGGCCUCCUUGGAAUCCACCAAGCUGGCUUCAGGAAAGCAAGAUCAACCACCGAUAACAUUCUAAGACUGUCAGAGGACAUCCUUCGGAACUUCAAGAAAAAAUAACUUACUCCUGGCGGUUUUCUUUGACAUAGAGAAAACAUUUGACAAGAUGUGGCACAAUGGACUGUGUUACCGGCUCGCAGAUUCCAAUCUCAAACUACCGCUCUCCAUCAGAAACAUCAUCACCAGCUUUCUCCAUAACCGUACAAUUAAAGUGAAGGUCUCCACAGCAAUAUCCUCACCUUUCACCCCGGAGGCAGGUGUCCCACAGGGGGCAGUUCUAAGCCCGCUACUCUUUCUACUCUACAUAUCAGAUAUCUACUACCCUCCACCCACCAUAGGUCAAGUCUCACAGUUUGCCGAUGACCUCUGCUACUGGUCCAGCUCCAAAUGUCCUCAACUUGCUGCAAAAAAACUCCAGAAGUCUAUUGAAAGGAUCGAGUCGUGGUCUAACAUGUGGCGAGUAAAAUUGAACCCACAAAAUACCCAAUGUGUCCUCUUCACAAGAAGCACCAGCAAAAAAAACAGGAAACCCAUAGAUCUCAAACUCUACGGUGAAACAAUAAAAGUAGAAAAAUAAGCAAAAUUCCUUGGAGUCACCUUCCAGAAGAACAUGCACUGGACAACCCAUAAAGCGAACAUAGAGAGAGAGGGACAAAAAAGACUAAACCACCUAAAAACACUGUGCGGAAGAAAAUAUGGAGUCUCACCUCAGACUGCUGAAAGUCUACAUCAGCAUAUCUGGACUGACAUCAAUAAACAAUAGACAGUCAAUCAUUGGCCAGAAGUUCAUCAACAGAGCCACUCACAACACAUCAUUGAAGGAAGCCGUGGGACAGGCCAAAUGAACCACAGAUACACCCAUGUCCAUAAUGCUGAAACUGACCUAGAAGAGGGGAAGAAAAAAAAUACAAAAUACAAAAAAAAAUAUAUAUAUAUAUACAACAACAACAAAAUAAUCAUUUGUGUGUGUAUGAAAAUGUGUAGAUAUAUGUGAAUGCACUCCUUAGCGCCCCCACCCCUCUCCCCAUGCACAGUUGUGAGCUAUAAUUGUAAUUACGUUUUUUAUCCCUUAUUUUUUUACUUUUUUAUUUUAUUUUAGAUAUUUUUUUAUUUUUUUACUGCUAUUUUUAAAGCAAAACACCACGAACUCAUGCCGGGGAAAGCAAAAAGGCGAAACUGGCCUGCCCUGCCUCUUCCACCAAUCGAAUUGUUUCUUAUGGACAGAAAAGAGCAGAGGCUCUGAGCUGUCCGAUCAGGUCCAUUGUCUACUUACUUGCUGGAAUGGAAUUCUUGGAACUGAGUCAAAUGUGGUUUCCAUAUGUUUGUUUUUGAUAACUUUCUAAUUAUUCCAUUCCAUUCCAGCAAUUACAAUGAGCCCAUUCGCCUAUCAAAUUCUAUUAGUCACAUACACAUGUUAAGCAGAUAUUAUUGCGGAUGCGGAUAGCGAAAUGCUUGUGUUUCUAGCCCAAACAGUGCAGUAAUUUCUGUAACUAUAUCAUAUAGUUCUUUUUUGAAUGAGCAUGUAUAUGAAAGUACUUAUAUAUUCUUGAUUUGAUAGCACGUAUUGUUGAGCUCAGUGAUUUUACUCAGCUCAAAGUAACACGUUUUUAGCGUUCCUCUGCUCUGCUGAAUGCUCUUGCCUGCAAUGCUAUUCUUCAGUUUCACUCCAACACAUUAGGUGGCAGCAUUGUUAGUGGCGCGCUCACCAGUGAGUGUUUCGGGUUAAUUCAAAAUGGCUGCGCCCUGAGCAUUAGUUGAAGGUGUCUGCUUUGAGCAUUGAAUAACGGGAAG